rnacentral:lncRNA from 1 species
UUCUUUUUACUUUAUCAUUGCACGUCUUUACCCGAUGGUCUUGCACAUCAAUAUAGCACUACACAAAUGGAUAAUUAAAUAUCAAGGACACAACAACGUGAUUAUGAAGUUAUAUGAGCACCAAAGAAAACGAAACAGAUCUAAAACAUUACUCCAGUUAACAAAGUUGAGAAAAGUUGCAAGUGAAACAAAAUGGAUCUUUUAUAUAAAUGAGAAUACAACGACGUAAGCUCGAACAAGCCAGAUCAGGCAUGGAGAACUUCGCCGGUGACUCCAAUCGGAGCCGAUGACUGAAGCUUGACGGACUUAACCUCAACUCAACCUCUCGUUACCCUUUAAUGUUGCUGUUUUUUAUUUAAAAAGAAGGGUUGUUUUGAGGCAUGUUUGGACUGAUUCUUAACAUGGAGUUUUCGGCUGGAAUAUUGGAGGUAUUUUGGAGCUGGUUUUUCUUGGUUUAAGUGGUGGAAACAGGGGUUGUUCGGGUGAGGUUUUGGAGUGGUUUUUCAGCUGGAAUUGGGGGGAGGGGGGGGGGGUUCCGGGCUGAUUUUGGACUGAUUUUGAGGCUAUUUUCGCAGCUAGUUUCUGCUGCGUUCUGGGACGCUUUUUGCGGUUGUUUAACCGGUGAAUUCGGACUAAUUUUCAGUUGGAGUUUUGGUCGGAGAUGAAGCUGAUUUUCUGAGGAGGGUGUUGAUAGACCUAGGAUUUCCACAUAGAUUCAUUGAAUGGAUAAUGGAAUUCAUAACAAUUGCGUCCUAUUCCUUAACUCUAAAUGAAGGGCUUACAAAGCCAUUUAGAGGUAAAGGGGAAAUAAGGCAGGG